rnacentral:tRNA from 1 species
GCGGCCAUAGUUCAAUGGUAGAAUACAAGACUGUGGAUCUUGGGAAGCGGGUUCGAUUCCCGCUGGCUGCC